rnacentral:rRNA from 1 species
GUAGGUGGCAAGCGUUGUCCGGAAUUAUUGGGCGUAAAGCGCGCGCAGGCGGUCCUUUAAGUCUGAUGUGAAAGCCCACGGCUCAACCGUGGAGGGUCAUUGGAAACUGGGGGACUUGAGUACAGAAGAGGAAAGCGGAAUUCCAAGUGUAGCGGUGAAAUGCGUAGAGAUUUGGAGGAACACCAGUGGCGAAGGCGGCUUUCUGGUCUGUAACUGACGCUGAGGCGCGAAAGCGUGGGGAGCAAACAGGGAUUAGAUACCCUGGUAGUCCACGCCGUAAACGAUGAGUGCUAAGUGUUAGGGGGUUUCCCGCCCCUUAUGCUGCAGCUAACGCAUUAAGCACUCCGCCUGGGGGAGUACGGCCCGCAAGGCUG